rnacentral:rRNA from 1 species
UGGGGGGAUAUUGCACAAUGGGCGAAAGCCUGAUGCAGCGACGCCGCGUGAGGGAAGACGGUUUUCGGAUUGUAAACCUCUGUCUUCGGGGACGAAAAUGACGGUACCCGAGGAGGAAGCCACGGCUAACUACGUGCCAGCAGCCGCGGUAAUACGUAGGUGGCAAGCGUUGUCCGGAAUUACUGGGUGUAAAGGGAGAGUAGGCGGGAUUGCAAGUCCGUUGUUAAAUCUAUCGGCUUAACCGGUAGCUGCGGCGGAAACUGUAGUUCUUGAGUGAAGUAGAGGCAGGCGGAAUUCCUAGUGUAGCGGUGAAAUGCGUAGAUAUUAGGA